rnacentral:tRNA from 1 species
GCCUCAGUAGUUUAGACUGGUUAGAACACGAGUUUCAUAAGCUCGGGGUCGGGUGUUCAAAUCACCUCUGAGGCA